rnacentral:rRNA from 1 species
AUGCGGAGGGAGCUAGCGUUGUUCGGAAUUACUGGGCGUAAAGCGCACGUAGGCGGCUUUGUAAGUUAGAGGUGAAAGCCUGGAGCUCAACUCCAGAAUUGCCUUUAAGACUGCAUCGCUUGAAUCCAGGAGAGGUGAGUGGAAUUCCGAGUGUAGAGGUGAAAUUCGUAGAUAUUCGGAAGAACACCAGUGGCGAAGGCGGCUCACUGGACUGGUAUUGACGCUGAGGUGCGAAAGCGUGGUGAGCAAACAGGAUUAGAUACCCUGGUAGUCCACGCCGUAAACGAUGAUAACUAGCUGUCCGGGGACUUGGUCUUUGGGUGGCGCAGCUAACACAUUAAGCAUUCCGCCUGGGGAGUACGGCCGCAAGGCUGAA